rnacentral:rRNA from 1 species
ACGGGUGAGUAAUGCAUCGGGACCUACCCAGACGUGGGGGAUAACCUCGGGAAACCGGGACUAAUACCGCAUACGUCCUACGGGAGAAAGCGGGGGACCUUCGGGCCUCGCGCGGUUGGACGGACCGAUGUGCGAUUAGCUAGUUGGUAAGGUAAUGGCUUACCAAGGCGACGAUCGCUAGCUGGUCUGAGAGGAUGAUCAGCCACACUGGGACUGAGACACGGCCCAGACUCCUACGGGAGGCAGCAGUGGGGAAUAUUGGACAAUGGGCGAAAGCCUGAUCCAGCAAUGCCGCGUGUGUGAAGAAGGCCCUCGGGUUGUAAAGCACUUUUAUCAGGAACGAAAUACCACGGGUUAAUAACCUAUGGGGCUGACGGUACCUGAGGAAUAAGCACCGGCUAACUUCGUGCCAGCAGCCGCGGUAAUACGAAGGGUGCAAGCGUUAAUCGGAAUUACUGGGCGUAAAGGGUGCGUAGGCGGUUGUUUAAGUCUGUCGUGAAAUCCCCGGGCUCAACCUGGGAAUGGCGAUGGAUACUGGGCAGCUAGAGUGUGUCAGAGGAUGGUGGAAUUCCCGGUGU